rnacentral:rRNA from 1 species
UACAGAGGUCUCAAGCGUUGUUCGGAUUCAUUGGGCGUAAAGGGUGCGUAGGUGGCGGGGUAAGUCAGGUGUGAAAUUUCGGAGCUUAACUCCGAAACUGCAUUUGAUACUGCCUUGCUUGAGGACUGGAGAGGAGACUGGAAUUCACGGUGUAGCAGUGAAAUGCGUAGAGAUCGUGAGGAAGACCAGUGGCGAAGGCGGGUCUCUGGACAGGUCCUGACACUGAGGCACGAAGGCCAGGGGAGCAAACGGG